rnacentral:rRNA from 1 species
CAGAGGGUGCAAGCGUUGUUCGGAAUUAUUGGGCGUAAAGCGCGCGCAGGCGGUUCCUUAAGUCUGAUGUGAAAGCCCCCGGCUCAACCGGGGAAGGUCAUUGGAAACGGGGGAACUUGAGUGCAGAAGAGAAGAGCGGAAUUCCACGUGUAGCGGUGAAAUGCGUAGAGAUGUGGAGGAACACCAGUGGCGAAGGCGGCUCUUUGGUCUGUAACUGACGCUGAGGCGCGAAAGCGUGGGGAGCAAACAGGAUUAGAUACCCUGGUAGUCCACGCCGUAAACGAUGAGUGCCAAGUGUUAGAGGGUUUCCGCCCUUUAGUGCUGCAGCUAACGCAUUAAGCACUCCGCCUGGGGAGUACGGCCGCAAGGCUG